UACGGAGGAUGCGAGCGUUAUCCGGAUUUAUUGGGUUUAAAGGGUGCGUAGGCGGGAUGCCAAGUCAGCGGUAAAAAUGCGGUGCUCAACGCCGUCGAGCCGUUGAAACUGGCGUUCUUGAGUGGGCGAGAAGUAUGCGGAAUGCGUGGUGUAGCGGUGAAAUGCAUAGAUAUCACGCAGAACUCCGAUUGCGAAGGCAGCAUACCGGCGCCCUACUGACACUGAGGCUCGAAAGCGUGGGGAGCAAACAGG
rnacentral:rRNA from 1 species